AGUGCAAUCUUCGGUUGCCUGGACUAGCGCUCCGGUUUUUCUGUGCUGAACCUCAGGGGACGCCGACACACGUACACGUCCCUUCGAUAGCUCAGCUGGUAGAGCGGAGGACUGUAGCUACUUCCUCAGCAGGAGACAUCCUUAGGUCGCUGGUUCGAUUCCGGCUCGAAGGAGACAAGUGCGGUUUUUUUCUCCAGCUCCCGAUGACUUAUGGCACUUUCCUUGGGUGCCUUCAGUGACACAUUGCAUUCCAACGAGCAGUUUGAAAGUCUAGCGCUUUCUCCCCAUUUUGGGCCUCCCAGCCUGCACGGGACUCAUCUGAGGCUAAGCUGCCCAUAGUUCGGGGAGACCCACAGGGAAAACAAAACAAGAAACAGAGAACUUGGAAACGGACGCUGAUUACUUUGAACGUUUGCUCAACCGAGGAAGCAGGAACUGUUCGGCCCCAUCUCAAGUCCGCAGGGCGGACUGCCUGGCUCUGGGCAGAUCCGAGGUGGAUAGGACAAGGCAAAAGGUAGCCCUGGAGAGGUGAGUGGAUAAAGUCCCUGGACACAGGGGCUGCCGUUGGAGGAGGUUGUAAUGUCAUUGUCCUCCUGUGGAAGUUAACUGUGGAGAAUUAACUAGAGACCAGCGCUGAGAGAGAAUUAAUUGGAUAAAAGUUCUAUCUAGGACAGUCCUUGAGCGUAAUUUUGUGAAGCAAACACAAGACAACAACAAAACGAGUAAAACCUAAACACACAUCCACACACUCACUGAAAGAUUCAGAGAUUGCACAGAACACAAAGACUUUUCUGGUAAUAAAAUCUCCCUAUCCUAAUUUUCUAGAAAAAAAGCUGUUGAAGCCACCGCGCAGUUCUUACAAGACAUAACACAAAUCUUCCACACAAAGGCAGAAAUACAGUAUCAACCUUUGUGAGGAGUACAGCAAAUAAAUGAUGUUUCUUUAGGGUCCUA
rnacentral:lncRNA from 1 species